rnacentral:rRNA from 1 species
AUUGAACGCUGGCGGAAUGCUUUACACAUGCAAGUCGAACGGCAGCACGGACUUCGGUCUGGUGGCGAGUGGCGAACGGGUGAGUGAUGUAUCGGAACGUGCCCAGUCGUGGGGGAUAACGUAGUGAAAAUUACGCUAAUACCGCAUACGAUCUAUGGAUGAAAGCGGGGGAUCGCAAGACCUCGCGCGAUUGGAGCGGCCGAUAUCAGAUUAGGUAGUUGGUGGGGUAAAGACCCACCAAGCCAACGAUCUGUAGCUGGUCUGAGAGGACGACCAGCCACACUGGAACUGAGACACGGUCCAGACUCCUACGGGAGGCAGCAGUGGGGAAUUUUGGACAAUGGGCGAAAGCCUGAUCCAGCCAUUCCGCGUGCAGGAUGAAGGCCCUCGGGUUGUAAACUGCUUUUGUACAGAACGAAAAGGUUUCUACUAAUACUAGGAGCUCAUGACGGUACUGUAAGAAUAAGCACCGGCUAACUACGUGCCAGCCGCCGCAAUAA